UGAUAGUAGCAGUUAUUUUCCGCAAUUAUUCAUAUUAUUACCUGUUACUUUAUAUUGCUCAGUAUUUACUAUUUUGUCUCUUAUGAACCUAGUGGUAUAGACCGUCGGCAUUGACGAUCAUACCCACUGGGAACUAUUGAUUAUAGUUCGCAUACCCUCUUAUUUAAUAUUUUAUUUCAGAGCAUUCAGCAUCAGCAACUGAUCGAGGUAAAGGAAUCGCGAAUAGUUAGCAUCUCCUACCCUUCUUGUGUGUGUAGUUGGACCACCUAGUAGUGAGCAGCCUGUACAGUAUUCUGAUACUUGGAGUGGUCAGAGAUGUUGUACCAUUUUGAAGACUGGUCAAUUGAUGAUUGUAAAUCGUUACUGUUUUGUUAUAGUAUAUAGUUUUAUUUUUUCUCUGAUACCUAUUGUUGUUAGAUUUUAGUUAAUUUAGGAUUUUGUUGACGCUUCGUAUAUAUAUGGUGUAUUCUUGUGCAUGCGGCGGGUCUGUUGACGUAAUCCAGACUUU
rnacentral:lncRNA from 1 species